ensembl:lncRNA
CAGAGAAUAAAUAAAUCUACUGGACUGAAGGUAAUCCAAGGUAACUCACGGGAUACAUGCUGCCAAAUUUAUAGCAAGUAACCACUGCUUUAGGAGUGCAGACUUUGCAUGGAGAUGCAUGCCUACACCAUACUCUCUUCUUGUAGGUCAUAGCUCCCUAAUUUUUGGGGAGGAUUUAUUGGAACGAAAGCCUUUCCAAAACCAAGAUAUAUUCUUUUAUUGCUUCUCAACCACUCAGAGCCACUGAGUCUUCACAGAAGGAAAUUUACUUCUUUGACAUGGCUUGCUCUUGACAAAUUAGUUCUGGUUGUUUCUUGUCAAGUUAUUAUCCUCUAAGUAUUUAACAUUAAUUAUUUAAUUAUAUGUUUUGGUAGCUUUGUUGAUAUCAGAGUGAAUUUGACAUAUCAGAUUGAUCUUUCUUUACUCCCAGUAGACCUCAUCAACUACUAUAAGGUCUCACAAACAAAUGAUAAUUAUUCAGAAAUUGUUUCACAUAAAUUCCGUAUGUACUUAAAAAGGCAAAUUUAAUCAGUUGUCACUGAUCUGAGCACACCUUAUCUAUCCAAAUAUUAUUUCAAUCAUUCUUUAAUCUAAAUUUCAGGCUAUUGAGCAUCAGGUCACAAUUGGCCUUUUGCAUCGAAAUUAAAACAAAAGUAAAAUGACUGAAAAUUUCAUCUUCUCAGUGUCAUCACUAAUUGCUCCUCUUUCCAUGUGAUUAUGUCCCAUGCUUUCUUUAGAUUCCUUCCAAUGUGUUAAGCAAUUUUUUGUCUUAUGUUCUUUGCUACUUGUAAUGUAUUUUGAAUAUUGGUUGGGAAAUAUUUGGAGUAGGCAGGUGCCAGUAAGCAGGUAGCUAACAGUGAGUACUCCAAGCCCAUGGCUUCUGCUUACCUUGCUGGCUCUGUGCACGUCAGACAGAAGAAUUGUGGAGCCAUCAGAGACCUAAACUCCUGGACACUGCGAAAGCCAAGGGAGUCCAAAGCCUUAAGGAAAUAUUGAGGAUGCACCUAAGUCUCAUGUAGGAGCUUUAAAUGCAUACAGCUGUGAAAUGGAUGCGAUUUGUCACCAAUUUUUCAAAGGAAACAGGAAGUACUUCAGCUCAGUUUACCUGAAAAUCGAAAUUACACUCUCUAAAGUUUAGGGAGUCUUUUCAAUAUUUUACAUGAAGUUCUACCCAUUUUGCUUAGUUUUGUUUUGUUUCUUUUUAUUUCACAUAUAGCAACCAUAUUGCUUAAGCUAUGACUUUGAGAGUUCCUUCCUCAUUGGGACAACCAUGCUAAAGGAAUUUUGCUAAAAAUAAAAUAGAAGAAACAUUCUCAGAAUGAAGCUACACAUGGGGCUUUUCCCUGCUUCACAUUUUUCUUCAGAAUGUACAUAAUUUUCUAAUUAAUUAUUUGAGAGAAUGUUGGAAGUUCUUUAAAGCAGGUGAGCAAAAACAUAUGUCCUGGUUUUAGCUGGGACAGAGUUGAUUUUUCCUUCAUCAUGUCUGGUACUAUGCUAUGUUGUGGCUUCAGGAGAAAAACAAUGUUGAUAAUGCAACCAAUGUUGCUGAUCAGGGCUGCACAGAGACAGGGACAUUUCAGCUUCUUGUACUGUCUUGAGAGGGGGCACAAGGAGCUGGGACUGAACCAGGAUAGCUGACCUAAACUGGCCAAAGGGCUAUUAUAUAUCAUAUGACAUCAUGCCAAAAAAAAAACCACUUGAAAUAUGGUGGGGAAUUGGCCAGGCAAGCAGCUGCUGCUCAGGGACUGGCUGGGCAUUGGUCAACAUGUGGGGAACAAUUGCUUCUGAAUCACUUGUUCAUUACUAUUAUCUUAUUUUCCCUUUCCUUUUCUAUCUUAGGAAAUAGUUUUUAUCUCAGCCCUCUGAUUCUAGUUGGUGUUAGUUUUCAUUUUUUCCUUUCUAAUCUCUGGCCAUUGCCACUGGGAGUGGGGGGUGAGUGAACAACUACGUGCUUCUAAGCUGCCUGCCAGGUUAAACCACAACAACUUAAAAGUAAUAUAGAAGCAGGAGAGCAGCAAUUUUGUUCAUUUUAUUUUUGAGAAGUUGCAACAUUUAUCCAUGCUUUGCUGGCUUUGUGGAGCCCUGAUGAAGUGCCUCCAAUAAGCAAGCAAUGGCAUCUAAAUAAUUUAAGGGAACAUUCACAGCAUUAUAAUGACUACUAACCCAUCUGAAGAGUAAAGGUCAGUAAAUCUAUUAGGGUUCUUGUGCUUUGCCUUGCUGAUAUUUCCAGUUCUGUUAGCUCAUUUCCCUCUUAUUUUUAAGAAAGGCUGUACAAUUUGACCUUGAAUUGAUUAGUGGCUUAUACCUUUAAUUGUACUGCAAGCAGCAGUUAUAAAAACACAAGAAAGACGAGACUACAUAAACAUUGACAAACUUUUUUAGUUCAGUUUUAAUUAGCAUUUCCUCGGCUAAUUGUGGUCCAGUAGACUAUGCAAUAUCACACAAUCAGCUAUAAUUGUAUUCACAUCAGAAAUUGUUUAACAGGUUUGUGACCCAUUAAUAAAUUAAAUUCAUUUAGCAAUAUGGCACUCAUCGCCUGACUUUCACUGAAAGCAUUCAGCUGCAGAAGUUCAGUGCACUGGCUAAAAGGUAAGAGGCACAGGCUUCCCUUCAUUGUUUUGAUACUGCCUCAUGCUAUAACCACAAGCUCAGUCUUCCUGUGUCAUUUGUUUUCUGUCUGUAUCAGUGCUAUUGAAGAUAACAGGAAAAACAACAACAACAACAACAAAAAAACACUCUUCUUUGAAGAUUGCUGGCAGCGAAAAUAAAUUGCUCAAUAUUAUGAGGAUUAGAAUUAGUAUUUCUGUUGGAUCAAGGACAAAAGUCAAAGAAAAUUGAGAUUUAUGAACCUCACAAUAAGGUACAUGUUAUUCUAGUUGUUUGGAUUGAAGCUGGAGGAGCAAAAUAUUCUUCUGCUAAAAAAAAGAGAAAGUUGGGGGAGGAAAAGCAACUGCUGGCAUUUGUGCAGAUAGUACAUCCUCACAGGGUACAUGGACAACAUGGAAAGAGUUGGUGUCUGUUACUAUCACACAGCCUUUGUUUGGACCAUCAGGGACUGGGAUGUAGAACAGUUUUCUUCUUAUCUCCAUCUCAGAAAAGUAUGUCAAACACCUGUUUGCAGAAAAACAAGAUACUCAGUAAAACCAGAUAGCUAUUUUCAGGAUGAUGUCCCUUGUUCUUAGGAAAACACCAAGGUAUUGGAAGCAGUCAAAAGGAACUGUAUUGCAUUUUUGAUCCAAUUUCUUUUACAAAUAUAACAAUUCAAAUUUUCUAACUUGAAAAUAUACUUAGCAUCAUAAUUCAAGACAACAGCAGAAGAGAUGUUAAAAAUGAACCAGUAUCUAAAAAACAUGCAGAGUCAAUUGGUAUGAUAUGUUUUGGUCAAUACAAACUAAUAAAUACAAAUACGAUCAUCAUUAUGUCAAAUACUUUGAAGUUGUCAACUAUUUUUCCUUAUCUUGUAUAGGAAUUUUAUUGAUUGAUUGAUUGAUACCACAAAUAUAAUUUUUAAGAUGAAAAACUUCCUUCCUUAAAAAGUUGAGAGAAUUGCCCCAUCCCUGGCAGUACUGAAGGCCAAGUUGGAUGGGGCUCUGAGCAACUGAGACUAGUGGGAGGUGUUCCUGUCUGUUGCAGGAGGGUUGUAAAUAGGUGAUCUUUAAGGUCCUUUCCAACUCAAAGCAUUUGAUUUGGCAGUAGUUGUUCCCAAAAAUAAGCUAAAGAACAAAGACAUGAAGAAUAGGACUACCAGAUAGAUCACUAAUAUAGUGACAAUUUAAUUCUUUAUACAUUCUAAAUUGAAAAGCUCAAUUGAAUGGUGACUUAAACCAUUCGUGGAAUAAAACUAAAGAGACUCUCCCAUUGAUCCUUAGAUAACCCUUAGAAGACCUAGAUUUCAAGGAUGCACUGUCUAUCAGAGACCUAGAUGUAAAAAGGUUUUUUGAUUAUGUUCAAUAGGGGUGAAGUUCAUUUCACUGGUUUGUGAUAUCGCUAAGUUAGAUGCUUAAGCCUAAGUUGAUGUUGUGCUCCAUUUCAAACCCAGGGAUUGAAAGAACCUCCUUAUAUUGACAGCUCAUCAGGUUUGUACUACAGGUAUAUUUCUGAACAAGGUGAAUUGCUCUGUUUGCACAUUUGCUUGUGUAGUCAAUAGAUGAUAGUUAAGGUAGCCUGGGAAACCUAGCUUAAAAUGAGAGAUCUAAGCUUUAAGCACCUAAAAACAAUCAAUUUCCCAAUUUUUGGGGUUUUUUUUUUUUUUUUUUUUUUUUUGAGAAUUGGUCAAAAUGAUGAUGUCAUGUCUCAGAUUACCAUGAUGUUUCAAAAUGUCUCUCAUUCAUACACAUAUUUUAGCCAUGGUACCACAUAAAUACAGCAGUGCAUGCUGCUUACUCAUCUCUGAAGAAAUUAGUAGAUCUUCCUGUAGCUUUAGUUAUGAUUAAUAAAAAAUGCAAAACUUUUAUUAGAAAUUUUAUUUAUUUCCACUGUAAGCAAACGGAAAGUGCCCCAGAAUUAUGGAUGGUACCUUCCUAGUUUUGAAUUUAUUGCAUUGCUUUGGAAUACUGCUCUUUCUAAAACCAUUAAACACCAAAUUGAUUUUAAAUGCUGAGAUCUGAAAUUUAAAAAAAGAGAGUUACGGUAUUGAUUCCUUUUACAUAAAUAUUUUUGGAGUUUCAGAAUUACAAAGCAGAAUCAAAUCAUGUAAAUGCAAUCUCCUUACUGAUAUUUACAGUUAAGAACUCAUAUGAAACAGAAGACAAAAUCAGCCACAUCCUGACUGGGUUAAAAAGGUAGACAGAAUCAUUAAGGCUGACAAAAUUAAGUUGCAGAUUCUGCUACAAACAAUACAAGCUUUUUUUUUUUUUUUUGAAGUUUUUCUUUUAGUUGGAAAAAUUUUAUUAAACUAUGUGAUGGCACUGGAAAAUGAAGGAAGUGGGACGUGUUGGUCUGUACAUACUCCAGACAUAAGACUUCAUUCAUUUGAAAACCGUAAGAGACAACAACUGGAGAGAAACUUCAGGAUGCUACAGAUUCAUGCAGAAUAAGUCAACAGCAUUGAAAAGCCUCCUGCAAGAUAUUUCAUUAGAAAAUUAUCAGUGCCAUGGCUGAAGUAUCUGUCUUUGUGCCAUCAAAUAUUUAAUCAUAUAAACUUCUAUAUAAAGCAUGACUCUCCUUAUUCUGUUAAUCCAUAAGGAAUGCAUAGAAAUGCUAACCAGUCUAUACUUUUAAUCAUAAUUUAAAAACAAACAAACACUUAUAUUGAAAAUACGGUUACUUAUAUUUUCAACUGAUAUACACCAUGCAAACUAAGUUGAUGGGUGGCCAGCAUGACACCAAAAAAGUAUCUCGUUCUCUUUCCAUGACAUGUACAACGUUUAUGAGAUAUGUCUUUUCUGCCUGACAUCUUAGAUUUGUUGCAGAGCUGGGGAAUUCUUUGUGAGCUCACAGUGGGUAAGAUGAGAGGACAAUGGCAGGAGGAGAGUCAGAACUCCAACUCACUGGUCAACUUUGUUCCCUCUAUGUUUAUUCAUUGCACCCCGUUGUCCCUUUCAGCCUGCCUCCCACACAUAUACAGACACACAUGUCUUGUUGAUGAAGUGCAUCCAUAUGAUUUCUAAACUUAUAGUAACUGCCUUUCAAUGAAUUUACAUUUUCAAGGGACAGUAACAAUUAACAUAAAGAGGAACUAGAGACCUACUUAUUUCUUGAACAAGCUCCUUCCUUCCCAUUGCAGCAUCUUCACAGGAGGGGGAAUUCCCUGCUCUAGUACAAUUCACAAGGUCUACUUCUUCAGAUAUGCUCAGAAAUUAAAUAAUAGGCCAAUGUACAGGUGAAACAGACUCAUAUUCUUAGAAACAGCUUAUUUUUCAAUAUUCUCUUUAAAAUUUUGCAUCAGCUACCUAUGUUCCUCAUUAAAAGAUCAAUUUGUCUUCAAGAACUCUUGCAAGAACUGGAGACAGUAUACAAAAGCAGGAAAAUCUUCUUAGAAAGGAGUAAAGUUUUACUAUCCCAAGGAAAUAUGGCCUUUGAGACAAAGUCAUAGGUCAGAGUGGAUGGAGUAACUUAUGUGCACUGAGAAAUAAGUAUUCAGAUUGGCAUUUUUGUGCCUGGCAGAAAAUAUUCACUUUACAGAAAUUUAAAUCUUUUAUUUUAAUCAGCCCCCUAGUUUGCUACAUUCGUUACUUCAGAGCCAAUACAAUUAUUUCUGUAUAAAAGUUCACAUAAGUAUCUACACCAAGAACAGCUCCCUCAUGAUGGGACACUUCCUUUAAAAUCUUAUUUAAUUGCCAAAGCUUUGUGGCUACUGGGGAGCUCAAACAGAGGCCAAAGAGGGAUAGAGAGGCUGAUUUAAUCAUUUGCUUGUCAGAAUAGAAAAUGAGCUCUCAGUUCUGUAACCAUUAGCAUUUCAAAGAGAGUGUGACAGGCAUAUGUAAUUUUGAAAAAUAAUAAUUCUGUUUCUUCCCAGAUGCAGAAUCCAGCUGUUUGAAACUAGGACUGAAAGAAAAGCAAAGUGCAUCACAUAUAAUCCAAUCAAGUUGACACCUCUGAUCUCCAUUUAAAGGCUACGUGUGACAGAAAUGUUUGAAAUUCUAUAUGAUUUUUUCCCUAUUUUUUCUGUUUGAACAAUGGCAACAAUUCAAGAGAAUAUGACAAAGCAGUAAAAAAAAAAAACAUAGAGGUUAAGUAUGAAAUACAAAAAUAAUAAUAAUUAAAAAAUCCUGCAGACUAGUGUUAAAAUGCCAUGAAGCACAGUUUAUUAUUUAAGAUCAAAUGAUCCAAGGUGAGCUACAACUGAAUCUAAACUUCACUGGGAGCUUCUACUUUCGCUCUGAAAGUCAUCUUGCCUUUGGCAUCUAACCUUAAUCUGCUGGAGAUGCCACUCACUGCUGGCAGCACCAAGUCCUACAGAAGGCACCGCCAUUAUCUCUCAGCCUCACAGCGAACAGGGAGGUGACAGUGGUUGGUAGGAUUGGCUUCUGGCAAGGGCUGUCAUCCAGAAAGCAAGAUUAUGGUUAAGAAAUUCAAGGAAUUCAAAACUUUAUGCACCAGAAGAGUGCUGCUGACAUCAGGCUAUAGAAAUACUCCAAAUUGAUGCAGGCAUGAGAAGACCCAGCUCACACUUCUGCUAAGCAGAAACAGGAAUUCAGCCUAUGUUCAUUCCUCUACUGAUUAGCUCUGAACACUGCCCUUGCAAAGGACAUUUUUGUAGACCAUUCUUUUAAGACAACUAAAUGCCUCAUCAAUGCACUCACCAAUGAAGCAUCUUUAAAAAAGAAUAUAAUUAUUUUCUCUGACUCUAUGAUAAGGAAUCUACUGGCACAAGUUGACCCCCCUGAGCUAUGGAGUUGGUUUCUAAUUUGAUAGCAUUGCAAUAUUUGAUUUGUCAGAGUAUAGACAGCUUCUUUGCAACUCAAUCUUAGUGCAGAAAGCCCUCAAAAAAAUCAUGCAGAGUGGAGGUGAAAAUGUAUUCCCUGUGGCUAUAAAGGAGUUUAGUUUUUUGUGAGUGUGUAAAUAUGCCCUGUGGCUUUUAUGAAUGCCUCCACAGGAUAGAAUUUUGAUCAAAAUCAAAAGGGAUUCCAAAGGAAAAAAGUCUCAUUUCUAAAUUGAAUGCAUAAAAAAUUGCUCGUUUGUUGACUGAAAGGCUACUGUGUGAUCUGUGCUUGUUGUUUACUUCUGUAAUCGCUGUAUCAUUAAUUGCUAACUAUCUUAUUCUAUCCCACAUCUGUGGAUGCAUGGUGUGAGCCCUUAGUCUUAAUGUGUAUGUACAGAUUCUUUCAGCAUUGGAGGGGGCUGUCUACACUGUUACGGUGAUCAGCAUUUUCUGUCACAGACAGAAAUUCUGUCACAGUUCAAGUGCAAUUGUUAUGGGUUUAGAAACAAAACAUCUCUGCAGUGCUGGUAUUUUCAAAGACUCAAAGCAGAUCAAAUUCCUAGCAAAUAUGUCCAGGUACCACAUGUGUGACAUUUCUUCCAUUUUUUUACCGCCAUUGCAGUAUAUAAUCUUCACUGCUGACACCUAAGUUUUCAUGCUGAUGAGACUUUUGCUUUGCAACAAUAAAAUAGAAAACAGAAAGUCAGCAAGUCUGGCCAGCUUUCUGCAAAUCUCCCCUUCUUACUCAGGCUCUACACUGUGUUCCUGUUAUCUUGUCAAUUCUGUAUUGAAAAAA